rnacentral:rRNA from 1 species
CCUACGGGGGGCAGCAGUGAGGAAUAUUGGUCAAUGGACGAAAGUCUGAACCAGCCAAGUCGCGUGAAGGAUGACGGCUCUAUGGUUUGUAAACUUCUUUUAUAUGGGAAUAAAACUAUCCACGUGUGGGUUUUUGUAUGUACCCUAUGAAUAAGGAUCGGCUAACUCCGUGCCAGCAGCCGCGGUAAUACGGAGGAUCCGAGCGUUAUCCGGAUUUAUUGGGUUUAAGGGGAGCGUAGGUGGAUUUUUAAGUCAGUUGUGAAAGUUUGCGGCUCAACCGUAAAAUUGCAGUUGAAACUGGCAGUCUUGAGUAUAGUAGAGGUGGGCGGAAUUCGUGGUGUAGCGGUGAAAUGCAUAGAUAUCACGAAGAACUCCGAUUGCGAAGGCAGUUCACUGGACUGCAACUGACACUGAGGCUCGAAAGUGUGGGUAUCAAACAGGAUUAGAUACCCUAGUAGUC